UCUAUCAAUGUAAAUCACGUUUUCUAUCAGUGUUUUUCUUCCCCCAAAUCCUUACUUCCCAAAUCGACUACACAGGUUCCAUAGAACGACACUGAUUUUACAGAAUGGUUUGGUAGAACCCCUUACCCAUUCAAUUGAAACAUGCUCAACCCCAAAUCCAACUCUUACAGCUUCAAUUUUUUCAAUCGACCCCAAAUUCAACUCGUAUGGAUUUUUGAGCUCUAUAUUUCAGCCAUUCUAACCUGAGUUGACAUCGACUUCAAUUUGUCAUUAUGGUCACCGGAUAAGAUUUACAGAGCCAAGGUUGCAAGGUUGAGGUCAAGAAUACCAUUUCUCUGGAAGUCAGGCAUAUUAUUGCCUCCAGUGUCCUUAUACUGCCGCACUUUCAUUUACUGCCAGGUCGAGAAUACCAUUUCCCUGGAAGUCAGGCAUAUAAUUGCCUCCAGUGUCCUUAUAUCGCCGCACUCACGUUUACCGCCAGAUCUAAAUUCCCACACCAGAUUCACCUGAAACUAAAAAGGAAUUAAUGAAGAAAGAUGAAGAUCGAGAAAAAUUUUGAACUGAGUCUGUCGCCGAUUCGCAGAGCUCGGCUCAGUCCAAUUUUCCAACUCCAUCUCCAGUGUCCUUAUAUCGCCUCACUUUCAUUUACUGCCAGGUCAAGAAUACCAUUUUCCUAGAAGUCAGGCAUAUAAUUGCCUCCAGUGUCCUUAUAUCGCCGCACUCCCAUUUACCGCCAGGUACAAACAAUUGACAACAUCCGAAGAACGUAGUUAUACAAAAGCAAAGUCAUAAUACAGUUCCUUCAAUGGGAUCCGACAACUCCCCGAGGAAGAGAUCCCGCCUGAAUCCGGCAAAUAUUCAUGCUUCAGUGGAGCUCAACCCGGCCUCUAGCUCCACUAAAGCAUACGAAUAAAAUACACAUUCUUGAUGUAAAAGGAUAUUUAUGAUUGAAAAAUUAUUAAAUGAAAAUUUCGAGUUUAGUUGUAAUUUUCUUUUUUCUAAGUAGCAUUAAAUGAAUUUUCACCACUUAUGGUUGAUCGGUGACUUAGACCAUUGAAAAUUUGUUGACUUUGACCAUUGA